UACACGACCGUACCGCAAACCGACACUGGUGCGCGAGAUGAGUAUUCUAAGGCGCUUGAGAGAACUCAGGAGAAGGAACUCGGCAAAUUGACACCGUAACUUCGGAAGAAGGUGUGCCUUUAGUAGGUGAAGGGAUUUACUCCUGGAGCCCAAUGAGGUUGCAAAAAAUCGGUGGCUGCGACUGUUUAUUAAAAACACAGCGCUCUGCAAACACGAAAGUGGACGUAUAGGGUGUGACGCCUGCCCGGUGCUGGAAGAUUAAAUGAUGGGGUGCAAGCUCUUGAUUGAAGUCCCAGUAAACGGCGGCCGUAACAAUAACGGUCCUAAGGUAGCGAAAUUCCUUGUCGGGUAAGUUCCGACCUGCACGAAUGGCGUAACGAUGGCCACACUGUCUCCUCCUGAGACUCAGCGAAGUUGAAAUGUUUGUGAUGAUGCAAUCUCCCCGCGGAAAGACGGAAAGACCCCAUGAACCUUUACUGUAGCUUUGUAUUGGACUUUGAACAGAUCUGUGUAGGAUAGGUGGGAGGCUUUGAAGCAGGGUCGCUAGAUCUUGUGGAGCCAACGUUGAAAUACCACCCUGGUGUGUUUGAGGUUCUAACCUAGGCCCGUAAUCCGGGUUGGGGACAGUGCAUGGUAGGCAGUUUGACUGGGGCGGUCUCCUCCCAAAGUGUAACGGAGGAGUUCGAAGGUACGCUAGUUACGGUCGGACAUCGUGACGAUAGUGCAAUGGCAUAAGCGUGCUUAACUGCGAGACUGACAAGUCGAGCAGAUGCGAAAGCAGGACAUAGUGAUCCGGUGGUUCUGUAUGGAAGGGCCAUCGCUCAACGGAUAAAAGGUACUCUGGGGAUAACAGGCUGAUACCGCCCAAGAGUUCAUAUCGACGGCGGUGUUUGGCACCUCGAUGUCGGCUCAUCUCAUCCUGGGGCUGUAGCCGGUCCCAAGGGUAUGGCUGUUCGCCAUUUAAAGAGGUACGUGAGCUGGGUUUAAAACGUCGUGAGACAGUUUGGUCCCUAUCUUCCGUGGGCGCUGCAGAUUUGAGGAAGCCUGCUCCUAGUACGAGAGGACCGGAGUGGACGCACCUCUGGUGUAUCGGUUGUCACGCCAGUGGCAUUGCCGAGUAGCUAUGUGCGGAAGAGAUAACCGCUGAAAGCAUCUAAGCGGGAAACUCGUUUCAAGAUGAGAUCUGCCGGGGCCUUGAGCCCCCUGAAGAGUCGUUCAAGACCAGGACGUUGAUAGGUCGGGUGUGGAAGCGCAGUAAUGCGUUAAGCUAACCGAUACUAAUUGCUCGUGCGGCUUGACCCC
rnacentral:rRNA from 1 species